UGAUUUCUAAGAGUCUCAGAGACCUAGGAUCCACAAAAUCAAAACAACAAAACCAAGCCUUUGUGCACAUCUGUGGUUGUGACCAGUUGGAGAGACAUUAGGAGAUGAGAUACUAUGUUCACUCCUCACAGCUGUACCAGGGACCUGAGAUAUUCCAUCACUAUUCUGUGAGCCUGGGCUGGUGAAUGGUUCCUGCUUUCACUAUUCCAGAUGUCCAGCUCUGUACCUUGCUGCUCUCCUUAAAGCCUGCCUCCAUCUAGGGAGCUAUGGUGCAUUACUCACGAGUGACAGAACCAACGAGCUUCAUCUCCCAAGAGGCUGGUGCAUCUGUUUAAAGGAGCAGGCGCUAUGCAGAGCAGCCCCCACCCCACCCUCCAUGGCAGAGUGCAGUGGGGGAGGGGAUGGGAUUUCACCAUGUUGUCCAAGCUGGUUUUGAACUCCUGGGCUCAAGAAAUCCACCUGCUUCAGCCUCCCACAGUGCUGGGA
rnacentral:lncRNA from 1 species